ACGUAGGGGACGAGCGUUGUCCGGAUUUACUGGGCGUAAAGGGCGCGUAGGCGGGCAUUUAAGUCAGCUGUGAAAUCUAUUGGCUUAACCCGUAGACUGCGCUUGAAACUGGGUUUCUUGAGGGCAGGAGAGGAAAGUGGAAUUCCUAGUGUAGCGGUGAAAUGCGUAGAUAUUAGGAGGAACACCAGUGGCGAAGGCGACUUUCUGGACUGUACCUGACGCUGAGGCGCGAAAGCGUGGGGAGCGAACAG
rnacentral:rRNA from 1 species